GUGGGGAAUAUUGCACAAUGGGCGCAAGCCUGAUGCAGCCAUGCCGCGUGUAUGAAGAAGGCCUUCGGGUUGUAAAGUACUUUCAGCGGGGAGGAAGGGAGUAAAGUUAAUACCUUUGCUCAUUGACGUUACCCGCAGAAGAAGCACCGGCUAACUCCGUGCCAGCAGCCGCGGUAAUACGGAGGGUGCAAGCGUUAAUCGGAAUUACUGGGCGUAAAGCGCACGCAGGCGGUUUGUUAAGUCAGAUGUGAAAUCCCCGGGCUCAACCUGGGAACUGCAUCUGAUACUGGCAAGCUUGAGUCUCGUAGAGGGGGGUAGAAUUCCAGGUGUAGCGGUGAAAUGCGUAGAGAUCUGGAGGAAUACCGGUGGCGAAGGCGGCCCCCUGGACGAAGACUGACGCUCAGGUGCGAAAGCGUGGGGAGCAAACAGGAUUAGAAACCCCAGUAGUCCU
rnacentral:rRNA from 1 species